CCCUUAGAUGUUCUGGGCCGCACGCGCGCUACACUGUUCGACGCAGCGAGUCUUAACCUUGACCGAAAGGUUUGGGUAAUCUUCAGCAAAGUCGAACGUGAUGGGGAUCGAUCAUUGCAAUUAUUGAUCGUGAACGAGGAAUUCCUAGUAAGUGCAAGUCAUCAGCUUGCGCUGAUUACGUCCCUGCCCUUUGUACACACCGCCCGUCGCUACUACCGAUUGAAUGGUUUAGUGAGAUCUCUGGAUUGACGCUGGCUAGGGGGCGACCCUUGGCCAGACUGCUCGAGAAACUGCUCAAACUUGAUCAUUUAGAGGAAGUAGAAGUCGUAACA
rnacentral:rRNA from 1 species